UGUAAGGCUCUUAUCUGCCUAAAAUUCAACUUUAAAAGAAAAGGAUCUCUUAAAGGGAAACGACUUUUGGCUCACGUAUGCAUACGAGAAUGAAACUUCUGUACGUUAUAAUCUGAUUAAUUCUUAAGGAUUUAAAAUUAAUUGGCUUGGGCAUUGCUGAACUGGACCAUACGAUUUUAACCUCUGCGUUCACCACGCCAAUGCUGAAUAGGUUUUUUUUUUUUUUGGACUGGGUUUGUAUGCCUCCCACCCCCACCCCCUUUUCUCUCUUUCUUUCUCUCUCUCUCUUUCACUCUCCCUCUCUCUUUUUAAAACGAACCGUUCCUUGAAUGUUUUGUUCAGAGCAGCACAUUGCUUCUUUAAGUCAGAUCUGCGCGGUUGCAAUAAAGAGCAAAAAAGAUAAAUAUUUGUUUUAAAGCUGCAAGCAAACUUCACCACACCUCCCGAUGAUAAGAAAACCACAAAGAAAUUAAGUGGCUUGUUCAAGGUCACACAGCUAUGAAUAUGAGGUUGGAUUGAAACUCAGAUCUUCUUGCUCCAGAUUCAAACCACCUUGUCCUCAAAUUUAAGUAUUCAAGACCUCUUUGAAAUCAGCUGGUUUGAAAUAAGUGUGGGUAAGAGAAAGAGAGAAUUUGAAAAGAAAAAAAGAUCUAGUAGGUACUCUUUAAAUUGAAUGCUUGAAAACCAUAUUGAGGUAUAGUCACUACGUUAAAUCAAAUGCAUUCAAAUCCAAAUGUGAAUAUAAACUGUUCACGGGAUGCAGAGAAGCCCUGUUUUAGGUGCUGGGGGUAAUAAAAUGUUUAGAUAAGAUAUAUUUAUUGUCUUUAGAGAGAUCAUGGUUGACUAUGGAGACAAGACCUCAAUAUAAGUAGCUAUGAUUACAGUAAAGAGUUACAACACAGUACUAUAUGAAUUUUUAAAAAAAGGAAGGUCACAUUCAUUACAAUGGAUGAUCAAGAAUUACUUGAUAAGUAGGCUUAUUGAAUUAUAUACUCACAGAGUUUUAGAGCUGGAAGGGAACUUAAAAGUCAUCUUGUGUUAGUCUGUAAGGGUCAAACAACUCUAGGCUUUUUAAGUACCCCAAAAUCUUUUUGACAAUAACAUAUAAGAUAGAAAAAAAUCACCAAAACAAAUUCAUUAUCCCUACAUUAAAAACUGACAAUCAACUAUCAUAUAUUACAGAGGCUAAAUAUUCUAGAGUGGCUAUCCUACUUUAUCCUACAUCAUCAAAAUAUUUAAAAACAAUCACAUUGUACAAAUACUGAGAAUUAACUAGCAUAUGCUAUUAAAUAUUAGACUAAAUGUUUUAUAGUAACUAUAGAUAGGUAAUGAUCUGAGGAUCAGGCCCAUUUUAUAGAAUAAGAGUGGAAUAUCCUAAUAAAUAGUAAUACAUAUUGUUUUAUACCUGUAUAUAUCCAAGAAAAUAUUUUAUCUGCAUGUAUCACCUCUAAUUAUCAUUGGGGAGAACUCUGGUCUUCAAGUGUUCAGAAAAAUACAUUCCACUAUCAUUACAGAUUCAUAAAAUCUUGGAAUGAGAUUCUAGAUGACCUAGUUGUCUCUCCCAAUACUUUAAUAAUCCCUUUAGCCACAUCUUUGAAAGACAGUGAUCCUUCCUAAUAUCAAAUGCUUUCCCCAAGGGACUCUUCUCUCUCAGUGAACAGACCAUCCACUGUUGAGCAGCUUUCAUUCUUAGCAAGUUAUUCCCCACACUGAACCUAACAGUUUUCUACACUGGUUCUAUUUCUACUUUCAGAAAUUAUAUAAAUCCCAAUGAAUUUCCCUCUAUUGGAUGACAGCUCUUCAAAAACUUAAAGCACUGUCUCUUCUGUUUGCUACUGUUUCUGAGCUGUCCACAACUCUCUGCUGGAUCAUUUGAAUUUGGAUUAUAGUACAUCUUGCAUCAUUUCUUCUGACCACCCUGCUUGCUGCUGUCCCACUUGAAUUCUCAAUAUUGCAGCUGCCUGUGUAUCCUACUGUAUGGCAUGAAGAAGUAAAUUGGAGCUCGAGAAACAGAUGUACUGAAGUGCUUCAAGAAGAUAUACCACAAAUAAUAGCUUACAACUCACCUCUAUCAGAUCAUUCUGUACUUAAAUGGAAAUCAUCUGGACCAAGUGAUGAUAAUAAUUAUCAAGGACAGAGAUUCUAUUUGAAGGAGGGAUGUUGUAGCCUCUACUCAAGCCCAUGUCGCAAUGCCAACUGUUGGAGAGCCAUUAGUAAAAUUCAAGGUCAGUUGGAAUUUUGGUCAUCCCCACUGUCUAGCAGCAGCAUGUCGUGAUGGACAAAGAGCUGUCUUUAGACUCAGAAAGACAUGGGUUCAAGUGAUUCCCCUCACACAUCCUGAAUUUCUGAUCCCAGGUAAUUCACUUAACUUUUUACUAUUUCAAGAAGCUCUCUAAGACUUUCAUAGAUAGAGAAGGUACAGAUCUCUGUUGGUUAAAGAAGUUUCUCUCUCAGAGCUCUCUACACUGAUGAUGUCAUCAAUCUGGUCCAAACCUCCUACCCACAAGUACUACUCUCUUUAAUCUCUUCCUUUAACUGCUGUUUUAACAUAUUUUUACAACUUGGUCAUUUAUAAAUAAUUACUUCUAAGAUAAAACUUUGCUUGCAAAAGGAAUUGAUACAGCUAAUGCAUAAAGAUGAAUAAGCAUGGGCAACUACUCAAUGAUCUCUCAUAAAUGUUUUUUGGAGGAGUUCAGUAUUUAAAAUGUAUUUAUUUUUGCCAUUAUAAUUAUUAAUAUUAUUAUUAUUUAGAUUGUCAUAUAAAUGUGUAAAGUGAUUUAUAGUUAUUAAUUUUCCUUUCAAAUUCUACAAAGGAGGGAUGCAACUGUUGAAUUGUCCCCCCCCCCUCUCUGUUUUUCAAUAGAUAUUUAAGUUGAAACUCAAACUGAUUCUGUUUUCCCUCUCAGAGGUUAACUAAGCAAGUCAGUGAGAGGAAAAACUUAAAGCUCACAGUUCUGGGCUCCUUUGUACAUAAUUCAUUGAUGAGGUCACUGGCUUACACUUUUCUGCAUGAGCUGAGAUUCUAAGUCAAAUCCUUAAAAGUAUUUUAUUCUUAUAUCUAUUUUCUUCCGUAAAGUCCUGCUCCAAUGACUUGCUAUAGAAUUGAGGUAACACUGAGUUCUCAGAGCCUAUUCCUUUGGAACGUAAGCAGAUUUUACUGUAGUAAAAAAGCUUUAGGUAUAUGUCCUGGCUGUGUCUACUUUCCCAGGACCAGUCUAGUUAUAAAUGGAGAGUCUCAACCCAAACUAAGUAAAGUAAUCUACUUGGUGAUGGACCAAUUCUUUGACUUUCGCAGCCUAAAUAAAAAAGGGAAGCACAAAAAUCAUCCUCUGUAUUGUUAUAACACCCUUCCUCUUCUGCAGAGAUGGUGACAAAGUAGCAAUGGCAGAAAUGUUCCCAGAGGGAACAUAGAAUCAUGAAGUUUUAAAGCCACCUCUAAAUAUUAACCUACUCAAUACUAUGUAUGUGAUACCCUCAUCCAAAGACCAACCACAUAUACUCCUAGGGGAAAGAAUUGAUAAACAUCUGCAAUAGAUAUGAUACUAGAGGUAUUGAAGUGUAAAAAUCUCACUAUUUUAAGCACAAAUUAAAUUUGAAGACAAAAAAGAAGUUGCCACUAACUGGAAAGAUAGCUAGCAGGUUCUCUUUAGAGAGGAGAAUGAAAUUCCUUUCACAUCGAGUCCACUGUUAACAAGAAACACUAUUUCAUGGAGCAUCUCACCACCUUGGGUGACAAUGCUCAUGAUAAUUAUCUACAGAAAGACCACCAGGAAAAUAAUUGAAAUUUAUAUAGCAAUAUUUAUUGUAGAGAAUGAAAAAUUAAAAUCUAUAAAGAACUUAAUGAAACCUAGCAAAUUAAAUCAACUUAUACUUUGAUACCAUAAGUGACCAUAAGGUGUGGUAACUAGAUAACUGGACUUAUAGUUUAGAAGACCUGAGUUCAAAUCCUGACUCUGAUACCCCUAGGCAAGCCAUUUAAUUUCUCAGUGCCCCAGGCAGCUCUCUAAGACUAUAAGUUUCAAAGAAAGUACUGAUCUUCAUCGAUAGAGACUGCUUCCUUACUGAGAGUUCUCUUUGCCAAUGAAAUCAUAGAUAACUACAAUUUCAUUAUAUAUAUUGAUAUUAAAUAAACUUCAAUGCAAAGUUGGGCAUAAGUAAAGUUAGCAGAAAGAAUAUUGGCAAAUAUGUUUCAAGAGUCAGGAAUAAGGGAGACCAAGCAUAUCACAUUGAUAAACUAUUAAAAAAAAGAAUCAGGCAUACAUAAAAAUGUAAAAUUACAUCAGACAAGUGGUUGUAUUUUAACAGAUAAGAAAUAAAUUAUUAUUGAUGUGGGUGUAAUUAUGAAUCAGCUAUUUGUGUACAGUUGAGCCAUCAGUUUAUUAGAGCAAAGAUUAGCAGUAACACAGAAAUGGAAGUAAGAAUAAAAAUAUAAAAUAUAUGAUAAAUAUUUAAAACAACCAUAACCAGAAAUAUUUAAAUAUUACACAUGCUGAAAAAUGGGAAAUGGUUAAAGGAAAGGACAUUGACACUAAUUAUUACAAAUUCUAACAGAUGUUUAACAUAUAUAAAAUGGUCUUGACAUCAUGUAAACAUGGGUUACAAUCCCAUAUUUGAUGUAUAACAAUAGCUUGUUCUUGGGCAAGUUAUAAUAUCACAGUACCCUAGGCAAUUUUCUGAGGUUAUAAAUCACAAAAUAGUUACCUAUUACAUUGGUAGAGGCAGUUGCUACUACUAAUAAAAAAUAAUGAUAAUAGUAGCUAGCAUGUAUAAAACAUUAGAAUAUUUGUAAAUCCCUGUAUAUAUGUCAUCCUGUUUCCCCAUGGGGGUUUUCCUAUGCCAUUUCCAGUCCAAGUUCCCUACAUAGUUAAUUUUCAUAAUUUAUGAAAUAAAAAAAAUGUAUACCUCACCUUAGUCAACAAAUACCUUAUUUAUUUGACAAGAGGAGAAACCUUGUAGCCAAUAGGAGCUUCAGUUUCAAAUAUAAACUAAUUUGUAAAGUCUUACAGAGUAGAAUGGUGGAAAUUUGUGAGUAGUAUUUCCUCAUAAAAGAGAGAAUUAAGGAGAAAGGAAAACAAUAUAGAGAAAGCUUGGUGAGUGAUCCAACUAAGCAAAAUCAUCCUGAGGGCAUUUAAGUAUGAAACUUGGAGGAAAACAGAUGAAAGAUAAAAAUCUAUAUGUAUUUUUUCAAUGAUUUUUCAUAAGAAACUUUUUUUUUACCAUCAAGAAUAGCAAUGAUAGUUUUAUCACACAAUCUCAGUUGUGCAUGAAGAAGAAAUGACUUUGAAGAAAAUAAAGAUGGGAACAGUAGCUUUACUAGUCUAAGAAUACAACAGAGAGGUUUGUGCUAUAGAACACACAAGUUUGAGGGAGUUAAAGAAGUGGUUCUUGACACAUCUAAAGGAUGCUAAAGGAACAGGGAGAAUCUUAAACCAUAUUAUUAUCCCAAAGAAUAGACUCAGGGAAUUUCAAUUAUUCACUCAAAUGGUAACUUUAAUAAAAUUGUAAAAAAACUGAGAAUGAUCUCCCUGUGAAAUGAAGGUAUACAAUAUCCUAGAUCAGGGAACUUGCAAGAAAUAAAACAUGUUUUGCAAGUAACAUUCCAUUAUAGAACCCAUGGUUGACUAUAAUUUGUAUAAUCUGAUCACUCUAAGAAUUUUGGGGGUUAUCUAUAAAAAAGCAUUCUAUUCAAUAGAUCUUAUUCCACAAGGUGUUUUGUAUGAAGACAACAAAAUUAUGCAAGCUUCCUUGAAAAAUAUGUCAGUCAACAAAUAUUUCUUAAAUACCUACAUAUAAAGUAUAUACAGAGUAGAUGAAAAGUAAUCUAAGAGGGAAGACAUUGGAGGAAGAAAGGGCAUAACAAAGAUGUCUUGCAGAAGGUGAGUUAUGAGAUAUGAUUUGAGGGAAACCAGAGAAAUGAGGAGUUGAAAAAAGGAGAACUUUUGAAGUAUGAAGACAACCAGUGAAAAGGGCAUGGAGAUACUCAGAUUGAGGAAUAGAAAGAAAGCCAGAGUUGAUGGAGUGUAGAAAACACAGAGGCAAAUAAAGUUUAAAAAGACAAAAAGGUAAGAAAUGGCUAGGUUGUAAAGAGCUUUUAAAGACAGAAAAAUUUCUAUUUGAUGCUAGAGAUAAUUGGGAGCCAAUGGAUUUUAUUGAGUAGGGGAGGUGAUGGUCAAUUCUGUGCUUCAGGAAGACCAGUUUGGCAGCUGAGUGGAGAAUAGAUUAGAGUGGAGAGAGGUUUGUGGCAGAGAGACCAAAAACCAAUAGGCUAUUGCAGUAAUCCAAACAUAAAGUAUUGAGGGCCUUCACCAGUGUGGCAGCUAAACUAAGAGAGGGGGAUUUUUAUGAGGGAUAUUACAGAGGUAGAAAUGAAAAGCCUGGGCAACAGAUUGAAAAUGAAUGAUAUGAAUGGAAAAUGAUCAAUUUCUUCUAAUGACCCCAAAUUUUCCCUUGAAAGAAAGAUGAUCUCCCCCCCCCCCUAAAUCCUCAUUUUCUGUUUUAGAAUUGAUUCUAAGUAUCUAUUCCAAGGCAGAACAGUAAGGGCUAGGCAUCUGGGGUUAAGUGAUUUACCCAGGUUCACAAAGGAAGUAUUUAAGGUCAAACUUGAACCCAGGACCUCCUAUCUCCAGGCUGGGGCUCUAGUCUCUGAGCCAGCUAGCUACCCCAAGGACUUGUCUUUUUUAAAAUGUCAAGAGUCUUUUAGAGAUAUUGUAUGGUUAUGAGUCAUUGAAUAUUAUGACUAAAGAACUGAAGUUGAUGAUCACAUAAAGAAAAAUUAAGAGGCAUCUUGUGGACAUGAACAGGCCAUAAAGCAUUAUAGACAAAAAAUUACAAAGGAAGAGCUAUACAAAUGAUAUCAUCAAAGAAAUUCAUGAAGGAAAUGGAAAAUGGGCAAGGGUGAGGGAUAAUCAAUAGGAAGUUUGCACAUUCCAUCGGUUUUCCUGCAAUGUGAGAACUAAAGAAAGACCACUAGCAUGAUGGGUAGAUACUCUCCCGAAAACUUAUGAGAAAGCAUAGAUGAGUCUCAAAGAAAGGAGAAAUAUGCCUGUUUUUUUAUUUAAUUAUAGAAGGAAAUAACCAUAUUCUUGAGAACAUGGAUUCAUUUGAGUAUUUGAGAUUUGUUUUUACUAUUUCCUUUCAAUCCCAACAUGUCUAGUUCUAUUUCCAAUCGACAAUGAAGUGAACAAACCUUAUUCUUUACUUGAUGAGAAUUGACUGUACUGAUCUAUACAGAAUACAUGUUAUUCCAAUUAAUUCACAGAGGCAUGAAAAAGAAUAUACACUAUGAGUUGAUGUAAGGAAAUGCAGAUUUAUUUUAUGACAAAUUCAUGGCUAAUUAAAAUAGGAUUUUUAAAACAAAGUGUUUCUAUCUUAUUCUCAUGUUUUGGAAUAUUAUUCUACAGCAUGGUAUUGGUUUUGGUUGGAAAUGUCUUCUUAAUAAUCCUAAAGAGUGAUUCAUAGGUAUUUAUGUGUGUAAUACUUCUCAGACACAAGUGGUAAUUUCUUGCAUGAAUUCCUCAGUGUUUCAGUGGGAGAAAAGAAUGAUUUCUCUUUUAAAAAAUGAAUUUUAAAGUCCCCCUUUGAGUACUGUAAAGCCAUUCAUAGCUUCUUAAAGUUAUAAAAUAUCAUUAUUUAUAUGAUAACUUGCCCUUAUAAAUAGGUUGCAUUAUAAUGUAUAGUUCAGUUAAUUCUGACAAGAGUUUCAGUUUAAAGGUGAGAGAGCAUGUUUGAUUUUAGUUCCAGAUGUGUCAUUUCUUUUGAGAAGCAUGAAGUGACAAAGAAGUGAAGAUGAAGAAUAGCUAAAUCAGAAGUAAAAUAAUAAGAAUAUUUUGAGAGUUAGGUUGGCAUUUAGAUGGCAACAAGAAAAAAUUAACUCUACAAAGUUAAAAGUGAGAAAAGUAAAUAAACAACUCAUUCAAUGAAGGGGAAAAACAGUGGUUUAUUUGACUCUUUAAUAGUUCAUGUUUCUAUAAAAAGUCUUAAAAUCUCAUCUGAUCCUCACUACAACUCUGUGAAAUAAUUAGUGUAAUUGUUAUCAUCCUCAUUUUAUAUGAGGCUAUAUUAUCUGUCCAGAUGAGAAGAUAGGAAUAGAGAAAUUAAUAUCUAAGAAUGUAUAUUAAGAAGUGGCAAAGUUAGGACUUACACCUCAGGCCAUUCUGAGUCCUAGCACACUCCAUUAUAGUACAUUUCUUCCUUUGGUCUCAGUAGGGGAAUUAGGGAUUAAUAAUUUUGAAUUUAUGCAUAAUAUGUGAUAUUUGUGUGUGUCUGUGAGAAAAGAAAACCAAUAGCAUCUGAAAGUUAAAACAAAGUGAAAGGCCAUUUUCACAUUAGGAAUUUUAAAAUCUUUUCAUAAAGUUUUGCUGAAUUCUAUUUUAUGUAUUUUGGAAGAUUUGAGAUCUAGAACAAAAUAUCACCUGGAUCAUGGUUUAUAUAUGUUGAACAGACAAUAAGCUCACUAUGAUCCUUUGUCCCCAAAGAGGGUGCUACUAACUAGUAAUAAUUCAAGCACAUUAUUUUUGAAACACUGAUUCCAAUAGUUACUUAGUUUUUUCCCCUAUUUACAAAAGAAGCAAUUCAUUUUGUAGGACAUUUCGAAGUGGCAAAUGGAGGUGUGCAAAAGGUAUUGCAAAACUUAAUAUUUAGGAAAGAGGGAAACAAAAAGAAAUAAUAUUCAUAUGUCCGGGAGGUUUUUAAACUAUAUACCAUUAUGUACCUUUUCAUGGUUUGCAUAAAAUUUUGAAAGUACAAGGCUGAAUAAAUUUGUGAAUGUAUUACAAAGGGAAAAGAAUUGAUUCCAAAUUACAAUGAAAUUUCACUUAUUGUUUGAGUAUAUGUGGAAUGAUAAUGCCACUCUUACCUAUGAGAAUAGAGAAUGUGAUCUCAUUCUUCUUAAGCCAAAAUGAAAGCCCCUAGUGACUAAUGGGAGGUACACUCCAAAAAACCUUUCCCCCUUUCCCAAAACUUACUGUAAAAUGGUGGAAAUAGGUAAAGUCUUAAGGCCAAAAUUUCCUUUUGUGUGCCAAGCAUAUAUCAAAAUGUAUUUUAAAAUAUAUUAAGCCUCAUGGGAUAAAGUAUUUAUACCAUAUAUCAUUCAAUCAUUCUUUUUUUUUUCUUAUUUAAUUAAUAGAUGAAUAGACACAGAGAAAUUUAGGGCUCAAUGCUAUCUCUAGAGAUCUUCCAGUACAGUGUUAUCAAACUCAAAUAGAAAGUGAUCCCUGUGGGCUGCAUAUUGCCUUAGAAAACCACAAAUUAGCAUUAUCUGUGCUGAGUUGUAUUUUUAUUUGUUUCACCAAGAAUGUUACAUUUGCAUUUUAUUUUGAUUUAGGCCAUGGUCCAGAGAUCAAAUUUGACAUCUAGGUUUGGGGCCAUCCCAGCACUUUCAGAUAGGUUCAAUUAAAAAAUGUUAAGGUAAAUUUGAAGGUAUCAUAGUGUUAAAUUUUUAUUGGUUAUGCUGAAUAUUUAAAUUGGUGGUUGGCAGGGAUUUUAUUACUAAAUUCCAAAAUGAGUUAUUCAAGUAAAAUGGAAUUUAUGGUAGUUUUAUUUAAAAUAGAGGGAAGAUAUUAAGGAAUGAGAGAGAGAGAGAGAAAACUUCAGAUUCCUCUGAGCCAGGUAGAGAUUCUAAGGCCCUACUCAGGGAAAAGGAGUCUCAAGAUGAUGGGCUUUUUUCAGAGGGUCACACCUCCAGAAAGGCAAGGAAACUAAGUCAGCCUUUCACUUACCACUGUGAUUAUCUAAAAGGAAAACAUUCUGAGGUCUCCUGCAUGAACUCCUCCAGUGUCAAGUUCCAUAGCCAAGUCUGAGUGUCUGUCUUCCAGUCUCUCCUCAAGUAUCUGUCUUCCCUUCAGCUCCGAGGGACUAACCCUUCACUCCAAGCCCAGGUGACUAAUUCUGCAGUCUGUUUGUCUUAAUGAGAAUGCAUAAAUGACAAUGAGCAUUUUUGAUGCUAUUAUGUGUUGAUCAUAUCUAUAAAAUGCUCUGAGAUGUCUUCCUAGUGUACAGAAUUUCUUACAUUUUAUAAAUAAUGCUUCUUUGUUAACUAGGAGAGUAGACUGAUUUCAUUCUUCUUAAAUUAACCAAAAAUGAGAGUACUUAACACCUGUCUCUAUAAGAAUUUUUGUUAGUUUCAUCCAUUCUUUUAAUUUUUCAAAGUUUUAACUUCAACUAAAAAUAAAAAAAAAAUUAAGUUGAAAUUAAAACCCAAGAGACAUCAUCUUCAUUGGCAAGAAGAAAGGACCUGUAGGCCUUAUCCUAAUAAGUAAGCCACUAGCUGGUAUGCUACUUAGUAAAUGACUGAUGCAAUAAAUGAUGGUCUAGGGAUCUUUAAGAAUGAGUGCUCCUUCAGAAUUCCUGGGUCACCUGGAUUAAUGACUUGACAAUUUCUUUUAUUCUAUGGCAAUGUAUUUCAGUGGUAAGCAUACUAUCAAUAUCUACUUUUAAUCUUUGUUAUGUUUCAAAUUUUUAUCUUGCUUUCCAUAUCCAUAAAAAUAAUCCUGGGACAGAUAUCAGGCACCCCAAUUGAUUCACUCUAAGAGUUGGGGUUUGUUCAAAGAAUAUUGGUAGACAAUUGUCAGCUGUUAAACAGCUUAAAUGAGAGGAGAGAGGAAAGAUUAAGAUCCAUUGGCACCUUGACAAAUGUAUCUUUUCCCUCAUUUCUAACUAUAUCCUGCUGCAGAGGGCUAUGGGAAUGCCCUCAUUCUUUAGUGUUCGAUUGUCUUUUGUAUAAACUAUAUGGUUUUGCCUUUUGGAAUUUGGCACCUUGAAACUAGAUGCAAAGAACAAUUUAUCUCUUGCCUGGAAAAAAAUAAGCAAAAAAUUCUGAAUGUUUCCUUAUCCAACAGAUCAGGAACACCCUUCUAUUUUCAUUUACUAGCCCUCCUGACAUAGUGCUAUGUACAAUUUAGACUAAGCAAAUGAUGAUGAUGAUGAUUCUUAGACUUAUCUAAUUAGAGAACAUUAGAACUAGAAGGGACCUUAAAGGUCAUGGUGCUUUGAACAUAGUAGCACUGUAACAAAUGGUUAUUUAAUGAAUUAACUAGUCUAACCUACUUAUUUUAUAGAUGAGGAAACUGAGACCCAAAGUCACAGUUUCUUAAAUACAGUUUGAGGGUUAAAAACUUUUAACUGGCUUCUAGGCCAGUGUUUUUUUCCAGUAUAUCCCAUUGCCUUCUUUAGACUUCAUUAGUGGAAGCAGUGAAUUUGUUAAUUUCCCCCACUUUCUAUGAUGUAUAUGGAUGACAGCUUUAUGUUUGUUUCCCAGAUUGCAUUUCAAGGAACUAAAAAAGAAUGUGAAACUUGAAUGAAGCAGGAUGGGUUAAAAGAAGAUCAGUUAUCCUUAUCUUUAUUCCCAAUCUCUACAGCCUGCAUUAGCCCAAGGGGACUUCCCUAAUUUUUCCCAAUUUUCCUUGCAGACACAAUAUUUAGUGGCUAAGUCAUUGUGGAGCUUUCAGAAGGUGUGGUAAUCAUUCUUGUUAAACCAGUUCAAAGUUGACUGGAGCCCCAACCCUUUAGCCCCUGCACAUGAUUGUAACUACUAUACUAAUCAAUGGGACUUUUGUGUGCAAAAGGGCAGAAGGAAAUUUUUGUGUUAGAGAAGCCUGCAUGGAAACUCCCUUGAUUUUUCUAGUGGCUGAGUAAGAAAACAUUAUACACAUAAAGCACUACACACAUUGUGGACUCUGCCUAAGCAUCAUUUAGCUAAAUUGAAGAAUUUAUUUUGUUGGGGGAAAAACAUAACCAGGUAUUUUUCUGAUAAUGACAAUUGUCAGCAGGCAUCAAAUACAAUAAUACUCAGUUUUCUCAGUAAAAUCCAGUAAUAUACUCAGAAAUGUCAUAUUCCUAAAAGAUUUGAGUCCACUUCUUUAGAUUAUUGUUUUAAAAAGAGACUUUACCAAAUAUGUAUAAGAUAAAAUUGUCUGAAAAAAUUGUAAUUGUCCCUUGUUCUAUUUUUUCAUUGCUAUUGAUGUUUUGAGUUUUAAAACCAAUCCACACCUCUCAAUCUUGCCAGACUUGGCUAAUGACAUUUUUUGAGGUAGCAUCAAAAAUAUAUUUUAUUCAAUCCAACUCUAGUGACUUGGCAAAUAUAAUUCCUUCUUGGUCUAUUGUCAUUGACUAUUUUUGUCUUUAUUUUGCAGUAUUUUUACACUUUUGAAUGAUAGACAAUAUAAGUACCUGAAGCUCAUAAACAAUUGCAGUUUUUUUGUCAUUGUAUUUCCAUCACCUAUUUUUUUUUGUACAAUAUUUGGCACAUAGUAUGAGCCUAGUAAAUAUUUUUUGACUCAUUGAUUGUAUCAUUUUUAGUCUUUGAUUCAAUUGAUACUUCCUAUCUAAUAUGGUACUUCUGACUUUACCUUUAUUUAACUUCAUUCAAAUUUGUAUCUUUUUCAUCUUCAAGAGAUCUCAAUUGCUGUUGAGUCAGUGACAGCAACUCUAUAGUUAGAGCUAUAACUAGUGUUCUUUAUAUCUGAGGCAAGCUGCAUGAAAAUUAUGCCUAAGUCAAUGUUUUAGGAGAAAUUAAUUCAUGGGAAGAGGGUGGAAACUGCUAUCCCCAGUCCCAUUUGCAGAGCAUAUGAAGCCAUCUUUCUGCAAAGAGAGGAGGAAUUCAUCUUUUGGAUAGUAGCUAGGGGGAAAUAGGGUAUGCCAUCUGAUAAUUUCCUAGGUUAACACAUUUUUCCUGAUAACUAGGUACUAAACUAAGCCAUUUCUUCAUGACCGAAGUAGUAUAUGUGCUAUUAGUGUUCUCUAAAUUUUGGUGCUUUUUGACAGAUCCUCGGCUACAUCACACCAGUUAUGGAUCAUUUAUAACUUCCAUCCUCCUUGUUUGGGCCACGUUCAGGCCAGAGAAUACUUCUAUGUGCUAUGAUCGUAGCAAUUGCAAUUUAUGUUCAUCCAAAUGAAACUGUUUCAAAAUUUCAAACUUAUUACUGACAUAAUGUAGUAUGAAGGCCUGCAUUUUUCUCUCAUAACUUUUUUGAAAAAUAAAUUGAAAUGAUUAAAAAAAAAACUCUUACCUUCCAUCUUAGAAUCAAUACUAUGUAUUCUAAGGCAGAAGGAGGGUAAGGACUAGGCAGUGUGGAUUAAGUGACUUGCUCAGGGUCACACAGCUAGGAAGUAUCUGAGGCCAGAUUUGAACCUAGGACCUCCCAUCUCUGGGCCUGACUCUCAAUCUACUGAGCUACCCGAUUGCCACCCAAAAUAAUUGUUUUAAGAAACCAGCCCCUAUUAAUGCCUUUAUUUCAUGUCUUUUUGUGACGGUGAGGUGAUUCAAGGUUCUUGAAGUUAAUGCCAGCAGAACACAUACUCUGAUUGGUUCAAAGAAAAUGUAAAGACUUUAAAUACAGGCCUGGUUACUGAUUUGUAUGUCUAUCAUGGAGGAUCAUCCUAGUUAAAGUCAGAGAAAAUCAUCACCAGGUUAGCUUUAUGGUGAUAGAAAUUUCAGCUCAACAACUCUUGAUGACUUGCCAGCAAGACAUAGGUUGUGGUUUGUGCCAGUGGAAAGAGUGGCCACAUCAAUAAAGUCAUAGGUCUUUACAGCAUGAAGGGAAAUCAUUGAUGAAACCAAUUGAGAUUAAUAGCAAGGCUGCCAUAUUGUAUGCAUGUAUUAAGUGAUUGGAUGAAACAUAUAUUUCUGUAGAAAGGAAGAAAGGAAACCAAAAGGAAGAUCCCAUAAUUAAGUAAGCUCUGAACAAUUUCACUCAUAGAUGACAUCUUGACUAUACAAUAACACUCCAUCAUGAAUAGACCUUCCUACAAGAUUGAAAAUUAUGUUGAAAAUAAUGAUCUGGCUUUUCUUCCCCUUUGUAUGUCACUGACAUUUACCUGAAGAUACAAUCUGAAGUAUUCAUUAACAAACAUAUCUCAGGCCACUGACAAUAUUCUCAAAAUGGAUCUUCUGGAUAUUCCCAAUGUUUAUUUGAAUGUUUUAGGAACAGUCUGAUAAUGGAGCAGAAUAUAACUAAGUGUUCUAUUUGUAGGUAGAUUUUUCUUUCAUUAAAAUGAAUUUAUAUUGUAUUUUAUUUUUACAACACUAUUCUUAAUUUUCACAUCAUCUUCAUUUGUGAAUAGAUCCUACCUCUAUCUUUUGCCAUAAAGAAUUGCAAUAACAGAAAGAGGGAAAAAAAGCCAUAAAACUAAUCAAUAUAUCAACCGAGAGUGAAAGAAGAUGUAAUGUUCCACACCCAAAGCACCCCAUUCCUGCAAAGAGAGGGAGAAAAAAGUACAUUUUCUCUUCUCUUUUUACAGGCAAGGGAAUGCGGUGAAGGGAAUAUGCAUCAAUAUAAUGCCUACGAUGUGUCAGGGACUGUACUAAGUGCUAUAUAAAUAUUAUGUCAUUUGAUCCUCACAAUAAUUCUGUGAGGUAGGUACUGUUAUUAUUCCAUUUUACAGCUGGAGAGUGAGUCAGAGGUUAAGUGAUUUCCCAGGGUCAUAGCUAGUCUUUGUCUAAGGCUGCAUUUGAACCUAGGUCUUCUUAGUUUGAUUCCAUCUCCCUACUCUAUCACCCAGCUGGUUAUAACCUGGUCAUUAUCAAUUUUCUCAGGAUUAAAGAAGGAAAUCCAAAAGGGUGACAGUAUCACAAGUAAAGUGUGCUAAAAAACUUUGAAGAUAGCAAUAGGAAAAUAGCAUAUUUAUCAUUGUGGUUUUCCAGUAUGAAAAUGUGCCUUAGUGCUUCAGACACUUAUUGCCUGUGUGACCCUGGACAAGUCACUUAACCUCUUUGCCUCAUCAAUAAAAUGGAGAUAAUAACAGCUCUUACCUUCCAGGAUUGUUGUGCUAUGAAAUGAGGUAACUUCUGUCAAGUGUUUAGCACAGUUCGUGGCAUAUAGUAGGAACUCUAUAGAUGUUAGCUUAUUUUUAUCAUUAAAUUAAGAUCUCACUAUAUCUGUCUAGUAGGGGUACCCAUAUACUUUUGAGGUAGUUGAAUUUAUAUCAGACUUUCUCUCCUCUUAUUUGAUUAAUUGUGCAGAUGACAUUAAAUGCUUUCUGGUAUCAAAAUGUUAAGAAACAGUCAAGGAAUUUUGAUUGUUUCUCUGUCUUUGAUUCACCUUCACUUUUCUGUUUUCUUGUCAAUAAUGCAUAGUUCUAGAUUCUUUGCAUGGUAUUACAAAGCACUGACUACAGUUAGGACUUAAAAAUCGAUCAAUAGUUAUGGAUAUUAAUCAUUGGAUUAGGAUGAGUCAUAGCACUGAGGCUAUGUAAAUUCCAAAUGCAUUUUGACAAGCUAGUGAGAUAGAUUUUCCUAGUACUCAAGGGAUUCUUUCUUUGUAAAUUGUAAAAAACCAAAUUUGUAAAAUUAAAAAAAAGUGUGCCACUUUUGGAAGUGGCACAAAACCAGGACAUGGUAUUAUUGAAUAAUAUGCUGAAAACAUAACUUAUUUUUGUUAUUGUCUUAAAACUAUCUUAUAAGAAAUGGUAACAGAGGUCAAGCACAGCACUCAGCACCAGUAUAGGCAGGAACUUUACAAGGUAACCGAAAGGGCCAAUUUUCUGUGUACCAUGCCAAAGACAGACUUUUAAAAGCCCCCAAAGAAACUAAAGUAUUUGCUUUUUAGCAAGUACUUAUCCUGACUAGGAUAACUGAGUAUCUUCUACCCACAUUCCAGGCACAACUCUAAUUUCUUCCAUUGUUCUGAAAAACGUGUUGAAGACAGAAUAAUAAUUUGGUUUGAAGUUUCUGAGACAGAGAGACCCGGAAGUGUUUGGGGACACUGUGUCUUUUCCUUGUAUUUGACAUUUGCAAGCUUUGCUACUAUUAGUCUGUGGUAUGACUUGAGAACUUCACUGAGACUACACAGGCACACAGAUUCUACAAUGUGCAAAAAAAUCAAAAGGACAGACUUACAAUAAUAACUUGUUGAGGUGGUUCCGAUAUUGAAGAACUAUAGGAAUGCUUUAUAGUUAGUGACUUCUGCAUGAUAUUUGCAUAGAGAGAACUUUAAAAAAGGUUACAUUUCUUUUUUACUUUCAUAUUUACUUAGUGUUAAGGUUAUAUGAUCUUGUUGGCAGCAUAGCUGGUGCUAUUUUAGUAAACUCCAAAUCCAUGUUCAAAUGUAGUAAGAUGGAAAUCUUGAACUACAGCAGCAAUAAAAUGCAUUUUCAUUUUCUUUUAACGUUAAAGCUUCAGGCUGCCUUGGAUGCAGUGAAGCUUGUUUUCUGCCACAACUCUCGAGUAAAGGAGGGAAGUUCUGUUUCCUAAUUCCAGAAAUUUUUUCCUCCUUUGGAUUAAAUGCAUUUCUGACCAUGUCAUAAGUACUAUUUAAGUGGUGGUGAGGAAAUGUCAAAUGGGUCUGGUUCUCCAUAAAAACCUUUAGUCAAUAACACAGCUUCUUUACUUUGUGUUAAAGAUAUAUGACUUCUGUCAGUCAAGGCUAUGAUCUGGUAGAUUUAUGAAAUACUAGUCUUGGCCAAUGAAGUGUGAAUUAUACAGGCAUAUAUAUAUAUAUAUAUAUAUGUGUAUGUGUGUGUGUGUGUGUGUGUGUGUGUGUGUGUGUGUGUGUGUAUAAUCUGAGACAUCUCCCAGAUUCAUCCUAAUAAUGUAUGCUACAAAGUUAGCUUAUAUGGAACUUUCGUAUAAAAGGAGCAAUUGCUCCCUCUCCAUUUUUCUUUUUUUCCACUUAAUACCCUUUUUAUAUUUAACUUUGAGAAGAUGCUAGAAGAAAUGAAAGACAAAUUAAUCAAUCAGUAGGUAUAUAUUGAAUGUACACUCAACAGAAAGUUUUUUAUAUGAGGAGGUAGAUAACACUACAAAUCAUUCCAUUUAAAUAGAUUUUUUGUUUGGGGUUUUUUUCAUCAUAUUUUUGGGGGGGUCAGCUUAACAUGGGAGAUAAGAUGAUUGUGCUUGAAAUCAGAAAGAUCUGAGUUCAAAUACCAUCUCGGAUGAUUAUUGGCUAUGAAAUAUCGCAAUAUCUAUGUGCCACAAUUUCUUCAUCUGUAGAAUGGGCUCCUCAUACAUAGAAGAACUCCUUCAUAAGGUUAUUGGGAGGACUAAAUGAUAUGAUGAAUAGAAAGCAUUUUGUAAACAUUAAAAUGAUAUAUAAAUUUCACUUAUUUUUAUAAGAGGUUGUUGUGGACAAAUCAUGGGGUAUAGAGUUAGAAAGACAUGGAUUUCAGUACCACCUUAGAUACAUUGUGAGAUCUUAGCCUUUCUCUGCCUCAGUUUCUUCAUCUGUAAAAUGAGGAACUAAUAGUACUCUUCUCUUAGGAAAAUUGUGAGGAUUGAAAGAAAUAAUAAAUUUGAAGUACUUUGCAAGCCUUAAGGCACUGAACUUUUAAUGUUUAAUUAUCAGCUUUUAUUGUUUUUGAAGCACCUAAUUAUUUAUACAGUCAUAGUGUGAUAUAAAAAGUUAAACGAUUGCUAACAUAUAGUCACUCUGGAAUUAAAAAAAGAAAUGACUGACACAUAUAAGCUAACUAUAUGUAGUUCAGAGAAGUGGACUUUGCAUCAAAAAAAGUGACACACAAUUUCUCCAUUAGAACUGGCAUCUUGUCUUCAGAGGCAGCAAGUGAACAGUGGCAAAUAUGCUGGGAGCAAGCCUCCGUCUGGUUCAUAAUAGGACUCCCUGAUGAAAUUUCCCAGAUCACAUAAGUGCUAGUCCUGCUUAUGUAGGCCUGCUAUAGAGGAAUUCCCAUAGCUCUCAGUCCAAUGGAGUCAGUUCAAUACAAUUAAUUCCACAGACAUGUACUGGGCAUCAGUUCUCUGCAAGACAAUGUACUAGGUGUUAAGGGGAACAUGACAAUGGAGAAGGCCUUGAUUUCAUGCUACUGACAAUCUAAUAAGGAGAAAGAGGUGAAUGAGAUAGGGGUACACAGAAUCAUAAGUAGAAUGAGUACCAGAGGCACAAAGUAAGAAAAGACUUCACAUUAAAUAGCUCAAGUAGAGUUCAAGUAGAAAUCUCAAACUAUUAGUCACUUCACCAGUGCUGCUAAGCAUCUGAAUGGACUGAUCAAUUUGACAAAAAAGUUACUUUGGGAUUAAUUCUACCAUGGUGAAUAUGUCUAUAGUCUCAGACUUCAUAAAUCUGGUGUACCAUUAGUUAGACAAUGGAACUUACUUCAUGAAUUGAUUCAUUCCUCCAAAGCAUGGCUUCUUAACCUUUAUUUAUUUAUUUAAUACUGUGUAUUGGUUCCAAGGCAGAAAAGUGAUAAGGGCUAGGCAAUGGAGGUUAAAUGACUUGCCCAGGAUCACAUAGCUGGGAACUGUCUCAGGCCAGAUUUGAACGUAGGAUCCCCCAUUUCUGGACCUGGCUUUCAAUCCACUGAUCCACCUAGGUGUCCCCUUAACCUUUUUUAUAUCAUGGAUUUCACUGGCAAUCUGUCUGUUAGAGUCUAUGGAUCCAUUUUCAGAAUAAAUGCAUAAAACAAAAUUAUUCUUGUUCAGUCAUGUCCAACUCUUUGUAACCCCAUUUCAGGUUUUCUUGGCAAACAUACUAGAGUGGGUUGCCAUGUCCUUCUUCAGCUCAUUUAUCAGAUGAGGAAACUGAGGAACACAAACAAGGGCAAGUGACUUACAGGGUUACAAAGCUAGUAAAUGCCCAUGGUCAGAUUUGAAUUUGUAUUUUCCUGAAUCCAGGUCCAGCACUCUAUCCACUGUACCACCUAGCUGCCCCAUGAAACAAAAUACAUGGGAUUCUUAAAAGAAACCAAUGUAUUAAAAUACAGCUGCCAAAAUUUUUUUAUUUUAAUCAUAAAAAUUUUAAAGCUUACAACCCCUAGAUUAAGAACUCUUGCUCCCCACUAUGUACUUGGUCAUCCAGUAAUCCUGGUGUCCUUGCUACUUCUCUCACAGGAUACUCCAUAUCCCCCAGGGAACAUUUUUACUGAUUGCCCUCAUGCUUAAAAUGCUUUCGUAUAUCAUCUCUACCUUAUGAAUUCUCUACUUUCCCAACUUAGCUACAACCCCACCUUUUGGGAGACACCUUUUCCAAUCCUCCUUAAUCUUAAUGACUCCCUUCUCAGACCACUCACCCCAGCCUCUACAACAUCCCCUCAACUAAAUUUAUCUCCUCAUAGAUCUUGUUUGCUAAUAGUAAUUUACACAUUUUCUCCCUCAUUAGACUGAUUUCUACAGUUAGGAACUGCUUUUUGCUCCCCCCCCCCCCCCACAUUGGUAUUGCCAGGCCUUAACAGUGCUGGGCACAUAUUAGACAUUUAAUAAAUAUCAGUUUUCUGACUGAUUGACUGUAAAAAAAUCUUUGUACCUCCCUGCUCAGAGUCAUGACAAGAAUAUUAUACAUUAGAUCCUCAAAUAUCUAAUAAUCACAUUUUACAUGUACAGUGCCAUGCUCAAUUGAAUAUUUGGUUAUGCCUAUGAAAUAUGUUGAUAUCUUCCUAGUAAAGGAGGAAUGAUGAGAACUGUAACUUGAGUGCUAUUACAGUAUAUAUACAAAUUCCUUUACACUUGUACAAAGUAGCUUGUAGUAUUAGCUCUGCCACUGACCAAUUAUAUGAUUUUGGUCAAAUGUUUCACCAUUCUAGGCCUUAGUUCUCUCGUUCAUAUAAUAAAAACCAAUGUUUAUACAGUGUUUUAACAUUUGCAAGUGCAUUGUAUACAUGUUAUCUCAUUGGGGCCUUAAACAACUUUGUGAGGUAGGCACUAAAGCUAUUAACAGGAAACAGAUUUGAGAAGCAUUGUGACUUUCUCAUGAUCACACAUAUACACACUGCACAUGCGUAUGCACACGUGCACACGCACACACACACACACACACACAAGGUAUUAGAAACCAUUCGAUCAAAAACACAUUUAAAGUACCUAUUACAUUAUGCUGAGAUUUGAAUGCAGUUCUCCUAAAUUCCAGAGUCAGAACUUUAUGUUCUAUGCCAUGAUUCUUAAAUUCUCUAACUGCUAUGCUUUUAUCUUUAUCUCUGUUUUUCCACUUGUACAUAGUGAAGGGUAGGCAGUUCUAAGUAUACAAAAAGCAUUUCAAUGAAUAUGUUACAAUCUGUGUAAUUCAAAGGAAUACAGGGCUUGGAAUCUUUUAAUAUGGAUAAUAAUCCCUUACAUUUACUUAGCUCUUUAAGGUUUUCAGAGCUUUCCCUACAUUUUAUCAUUUCAUCUUUAUAAUUUCUCUGUGAGGUAUAGGUUAUUUUUUAAAAAAACUUUAUACAUGAAGAACUGAGGGAAAAAUGUGGAAUGACUUGUCCAGGGUCAUAUAGCUACUAAGUAUCACUGGCAGGAUUCAAACUCACAACUUUCUCACUCCAAAUCUACUUCUUUAGCCGCUUCCUACUAUGCCUCUCUAACUCCUAUUGAUCAACACCUUCUCUGAAGCAAGGAAUAAAGAGUCCUUUAAAUGACUCUAAGUUUUUAAAUUUUGUGUAUCAUGAUAUACUUGACUGGCAAUGGAAGCUUAUGAAAUUAAGGGCAAAUGAGAGAAUAUCUGCAAAUGAAAGGGAAUAAUAAGUUCUGAAACAAGAGUAAUCUUCCUAUCUGUAUUGUGUCAAUUAUGAAAAACAAUAAUAGUAAUAAAACCCACCCAGAAUUUGUUCAGCCCUCAAUGACCACAUCCUCUAUUUUAUACAUAAACUGUUUCUAUAUUCAAAGGCUUUUAAACAACUUUGAUUAAUUGUCGUUUGCUAAUAUGUUCUCAAAUAAUUACUACAAAGCCUUUAUUAAAUAAGCAGAACUGCCUUUAGUCUUUGUGAAUAUCUCCUGGUUUAAUAUUCAUCUCUUUUCUUUUUUGCAAUUUUGGGAAUGAUGGAGAUCAAGCUUAUGCUUUGAAUAGUCCAAAUUCAUACACCUGGGGGAAAAAGAUAGGAAUUCUGUCUUCCUUGUCCAGCAACCACUUUUACCCACUAUAGGAGCAUAGCAGAAGGGCUCUCUUCUCAGACUGGUAAGAUGAAACUAUUCUUAGGUCUAUGAAUGAUUGCAGCUGGUUUUGAGAACUAAUAAUAUGUUUUAUUGUAUUUUUUCCACAAGUUUUUCAAAUGGUAACCUUAACCUAAAACAUCAAUGAAUGGAAAUUAAAUCCUUUGGAAGCUUACCCAGCAUUUGGUGAAAUAAAAGGGAAAAAAUAAUUUUAAAUGCAUAAUAUAGAAGUAUUGGGGAUGGUAUGUUGGUCCAGAAGGGAAGUAUAAGGCAGAAAAACAGCAAGAGCUGGGCAGUGGUGAAGUGACUUGCCCAGGAUCACACAACUACAAAGUAUCUGAGGCCAGAUUUGAAUCUAGUACUUCUGUCUCUAGGCCUGGCCUUUAAUUUACUGAGCCACCUAGGUGCCACCUCUAUUACUAAAUCUUUAAAGGACUUAACUUUAUUUCUGCUUUUACUUAAAGAGGAGAGUCUUAUAUUGGCCAUGGGAAAUGUACCCAAGUCAGCGACUACAGACUUUUCUUUACUGACCAUUUUUUACAGACAAAACAGCAACAAUUUAUACCAAAUGAGUAAGGGAAGAGGCAAAUGGAAAGAUACAGUGGAUGAUAAAAAGAUAACACUUUACUGUAACAGAUGCUUCAUUUUAUGAUGGAAGUGGGGAAGUCGAAUGCUGCAGGUGCUGGGCUGACAUUAGCUCUGUGGAGAAUCAUUAGAGCCUCCUCAGAGAUCUAGGUUUACUCUGUGUUUAAUCAGCCACAGUCAGAAGAAAUGGCUUCAUUUCAGCUUGAUGAGAGCCAGAUUACAAAAGGAAGAUAGAUGGCCAAUAAGGUUCAUCACUAUAAGCAUAUUGUCUUAAUUUGAAGGAACAGCCUGGCAUCUUGUGCUAAGGAAGAAGUAAAAUGCAAUCUGACUACUAUCAAGACCCAGUUAUUCUAAGUCUCAGUGUACCCUGUAAUAAAAAGUGCUCAUGUGUUCUUUUAAUUAAUAUUUUAUGAAAACUGUGAACUACACAGUGCUAGCCAAGGCACUUAAGAGAUCUCACUGUUUCAGGUUAAGGGCAGUGGAGCUGCCCAACUUAAAAUCUUGAUUUUUUUUUUUUCCCAUCAGAGGCAUUUUAGAAAAGGGCGGAUCUAAAUAUCUAAAAACAUUUACGAAGUUUGGCUGUCCUGUAAAUGUGCUUGACUUUUCUUGUUCUCUCUCUCUGUCUUUCCAUGCAAUUUGGUUGAAUUUGUUCUUUCCCUUUUCCCCUUGAUUAGGGAGCCUCUUGUUUUCAGUAGCUUCUUUGCUGUUUUCCUUUUGUCAUUAAAUUCUCUGGGUCUUGAAAAUUCCCAUGGGACAUAAAGUAUACAUUCACUUUAGGCCUAACUGGGUUUUCUGGUUUUCCCAAAACAUCAGAAAAAUGAUUUUCAGCUUUUGGAGGAGCAAUAAGAUACAUUUGAUCUCAGUAUCUUUGCCAGACACCUCUUACUUGAACUAAGAGCAGAUAAUGACUAGUUUGGGUAAUUACAAACAAGUGGAUGUUUCUAAACAAUUUGCUAUGUGUCACAUCCAUGUUUUCAGUCAAUCCCUUGAGGCCCCGCACAAAGAGCUCUGACUUUCCCCCCAAUAACUAUUUUCCAGAUGCACUGAAACAACAUCAAGUGACCCAGUUCCCCCCUGAGAGGUUUAUAAAGGAGCAUUUAUAGAGAGACUUACUGAGUGAGACAGAGAUUCUUGCCUGGCAGCUUAGUCCUAGAUAAUCUCACAUGAACACAGUAUUGAAUCUUACUUUUCCUAAGGCAUAUUGAGUACGAUUUUUAGAAAACGAUAUGCUAAACACUCCUGAAGUGGAGAAGAGAUUUAAGCAGCUUAACAAUUGGUAGAAAUAUUAUCAUCCUCCAUCAGGGUAAUAGUAUCCAGUCAUUCCCCACCCACAGGCACUCAUGCAGGCAGACUCGAUUUAGGCUUAAGAAGGUACAAACAACUUUCUGGAAGUGUGUGGUCCUGAAAGCAUUUAAGCAUUUCCAACUCAGGUGAACUGAUUUAUCUUUUGCAUAUAAUCUAAACAUUAGCCACCUGGUUUGAGGGCUGAAUAGAAUAAAAACCAAAACACAAUCUCACUAAUAAUAAUAGUGAAUGUGCUGUUAAGAAACAUUCCAAACUUUGCCUACACAACAGACCUUUAUGCAGAUGCAAAGGAAAGGGGGAAUAAAAGAGAAAAACCCAUCAUUUCUAGAUACAAGGCAUCUCCGCUAUUUAUAAGGAUACAAACCCUCACCAAUUUCAUCCCUGGGAUCUCGGAUUUGAACCCAUUUCUUUUGCCUAGGUCAUAGAGGCAUGAUGUUUCUAGAGGGAAACAACAUGUGGCCUUAUAUUCAUCCAUACUAAAAGGGUUACCAGGUCCUACCAAUGAUGGGCAUCAGGCAUCAUGUUGAAAUCUGGCAAGAUGGUUGCAUAAUUCAUCCACAACACAUCUGCUAUGUGUGGACAGCAUUCAGUAGAAUAGAUUUCCCCCCAACACACACACACACAACAAGCAACAUGCCAAAGUCUUGAUGUGAAAAGUACUUAAUGUUCUACAGUGUGUCAAUCACUUGAUGGUUGCCAGUGCGAAAUGAACAUCCUUUACAGGAUGGCUUCCAUUAUUACUGGCACUAAAACCUACUGAAAUAAUCCUGUUGAGGUGAAACACAUGAAAGAAAAUGUGAACACAUGUGAGAGGCUCUUCCUCAUUACAUAUCUUGGACUACUUAGCAGUGAUGCUCUCUUUAGCAGCCCAUUACACAUGGAGAAUGUUCCACUUCUAACAUCACUGCCUAAUGGAUCAAACUUUUACACAGUUAAGAAAUACAAAUCUCUCUUUUGCUGCGAAAGCUCAGAAGUAAUACCAGUAAGAAUAUUUUCUCUGGCCCAAAUUUUGGAAUUCAUUAUAUCUGUAAUUUUGGAGGAUCAUUUAAAUGGAUUAAAAUGAGGCUUCCCACAAAAAAUAUGACUCAAAAGAGCAUGCAAUCUGGCAGUUCCAAUGAUGAAUGCAGAUUCUUCUCUUGACUGUGGUGGUAGUAGGGUAAUAGUCCAAAAUCCAUAUACUACAUGUUACUCUUAAAUCCUGCAAAUUAUCUGCUUAUGGUUAAAAGCACGAGUUUCAUUACCCUUAUCUUAACAUCAAUAACCACCAAUGUUGUUAUUGGUCACAAAAUUAUCCACUUCCGCCGAUUUCCAAUCCACUGACAAUUUUGGGGUAGUUUGAAUUAAGUGGAGUGGACAAGGGGAAAUAGUCUAUUUCCUCUGCCUCUUGUGCAGUUAAUCUCCAAUUCUAGAUAUUGCUACAUCAUCCCUUCCAAAGAAAUCUUUAUUUUGAGGUUAAAGAAUACUGCCAAGAAAGAUGUUAUACGUUUUGUUUUAAGAAUGCUUCAAUCCAAAGAUAAAAUAAAAAAAAAAGUUUUCCUCGGUUAGAAGAGGCUUUAUUUUUCUCUACAUAUUACUCAGUUUCACCAGCUAACACAAUAUAUUUCUAAUCUAUAUGGGCGACAAGAAUAUUGAAUGUGUGUGCAAACAAAGCUAUCAGGUAGGUAAUAAAGUACUGAAUGUGAGGCAGGGCUUAACCAAGGUCAACCUGACACCAGGUUCUUUACCUUUUGUUCAACACUCUGAGCACUUAUCUCCACCCUCCUUUCCCUCCCCCCCAAAAAGUAACUCAACUAUUGACAAUUCCAGAUUUUGCUUAAGCCUGCUCCUGAUAGCUGAGUGAGUAAACUUAUUGCCAGGAGUCUUCUGAUGAUCUGGUUCACUCCAGAAGUUGCACUUCGGCUCCAGCAUUUCAUUAUUGAGUUUGUUCAUGUUCAUUUGGAGACCUCAAAUUGUGCUACCUCUCCUCCCAUGAAACUCUUGGACUACUUAAGUAGUUGUGCUAGCCUUUAGAAAUGAAUCACUAGCUUUAUCAACAUGAAAAAGGACCUUCUGAACAAUAGAUUUAUUUCAGUAAGGGUUUUAUUUGGUGCAAUUUAAACUAUUAAAAUAUAACUUCUGGGGCAAAUAUUUCCAAAAGGAGAUGUUCACAAGCAUAUGAAGAAAAAAACCCCUAAGGUAGAUGCUAAAAUGAUACCAAGAUUUUGGAAUCAUUAUUUUUUUGGUAGAAACACCCAGAUUUUUUCCUGCUUUAAUGGAAGAAGACUACCAUAAGGAUACAUCAGUAUAUAUAGCCUCUCUUAUGGGUACAGCACUAGUGUAUAUAGAAGAUCACAUAGGCUGCAAGGCAGGGGGAAGGGGUAGAUGUAACCCCUAUGACUGUAAUAGUCAUUUUAGGAAAAUUGGAGCACUUUCCCCCUCGCCUUCAGCAAAUGGCAGUGCUUUGGGAAAUAGAACUUUUUCCUUUUUAAGCUCCUAUCUAGAGAAUAAUUAUGAUGACUUAGUUUUUUUUCUUUUCUUUGCAAUGGCUUAUGUUGACAGGCAUCUGUGAACAUCCUCCUGAGAGUCAGAAAGGUACCUAAGAGAAGAGUGAGUCAUGAGCCUCUGAAGGAAAUCCAGGUUGGCACAUUGCACCUCUAUGCUCUUCCCCCUGGGCCAUAAGCUCAACAGGAACAUGAGAUUCAUGUAAGCAAAGUUUGAUAAGAAUGUGAAGGCCUCCACACUUGAAAACACUUGUGUGUUGACACGACUACUAACCUUCCAAAGAUAUUAAAGAGGGAGAUUUUAGUUUUAAGUCAAUCACUUUGGCUACAGCUGCCACUUUAGUUUUUAACAUCUCUAUUUCUUUUUCUAGUCCAGUUAAGUGUUACCUUAUUUCUUUGCUAGGAACAAGGGAAACAGGACUAGUAAUUUAUGGCUCCUAUUAAUAUGGUAGGCUGGAUGUGUUGACAAUACGUCGAUAAUUAUAUCUGGCAGGACCCUAACAGCAGGGUAAGGGUCUCCAUCGAAUGACUUAUUUUAACACAAGACAGAUAUGCCUGACCUGAGUUUUAUGACAGAUGUCAAAUAUAUCGAAGUGUGGUGUGAAGAAGAUCAUCUUAUUGGCAAAGUAAUGAAAGACCACUGGAAAGAUUAAUGUUAACUCUGAUUCCUGUUGUUUCUUGUUUCUUUCUGCAGGUGUUAGAGUAAAUAUAAGGUUCUCUGCUCUGGGCUGAUGGUGAUUUGGAAGUGAAGACAUAGGUAAAUACUCUCAGUUACUAUAAAAGCCACAUUUCCUUGUGGGUUUGAAAAAUGCCACCAAAAAAGCAGAGGCUGGUAAGGAGGGAGCAAAGAAGACAGGAUGCUUCUUUACUUAUAUCCCAAGAUGUUUCCAUCAGUAGUAGCAUAGGUUUGAUUAGAGUGUGGCAUCAUCUUUUUUUCAAAGUGAUUACUUAAUUCCUUAAAAAUAAUUAGAGGGUUCUAAUGAAAAAAAAAAUUCACUGUUGCACAAAUAUAUUUUCCUUCUAAACAAAAGCCUUUCUUCCUUUCACUCAAUCAAUGAAAAACUCACAAGAAUUCAUUCAUUCUGUGUUCCACAGCAGGCAUAAACUGUUUAAAAUAAUCAGAACCAAAGAGAAUGUACAUUUCCAGAGAAUAAAGUGAAAACACAGUUCAGGACAAUGACACCUGCAAAUGGAAAGCUAUAUGGUUAAGGAAAAGCAAUGACUUCUUAUAAUGUGACCUUCUAUCAAAAGGCUAGGAUAAGAGAGAGGGAGAGAAUAAUGUUUUCAGAAUUAUUUUCAAGGACAAUUAGUAAUGGUAGGGAACAGAUUUUGAUUUUUUCUCAUUUUCCUUUAAAAUUUCAUUCUCUGUGAUUAUUCUUGUAGAAAGUUUGAGGUCCUUUAAAAAUGCUUCAAAAGUGGAAAAGACACCUACUUUACCUUUGUCCUCUCUUAUUUGUUUAUUUGUAUGGAGUUCUCUUAGUGAGUUAGGGAUAUGAAGGAAGGACUCAACCUUUGUGAUUCAGAGCCUGUUUACUUCUAUUAGGCCAGCAAAUCUUCUUUCUUUCCUAGCUCUACAGUACUUUUGUACUCACAGAGAGGACCUGCCUUCAGAAAAGGGAAAUGGGACGUGAAAUGUUUUCCUAGGUUCAGUGCUCUUAAACAGCAGCUUAGGUGGUUAAAUGCUGCUUCUGUGAGAGAGUAAGCACAGGUGUCCCUAUAAGGAAAAAAGAGGGGAUCUGUUUUUAUACAAAAGGGCAUGUUUGAAAUAUGAACCAAAAAAGGAAUUGCUUUUUGCAACAGGCCCCAGCUUUUACUGAGGUCUUGAGGAUUGGUUAUUCCUUUAGGGAGCAGACGGGUCAUUGUGUACAUGUUAUCUUUUAAACCAGUUCUGUAUGCCAGAGGUCAAAAAAGAGGAAAUUUGUCUUCAGAAAAUUUAUGAUCUUUUAUUAAUCAGAGAUAAGAGCAAAUAAUUUUGCUAAUAAGCAAAUAUUUCAUAGACUCAUAGUUUUUGCAUUCUUCUUGAAUACCCCCUCUGCUUUAUUUGCCUCUGAAUUUUUGUGCAUGCUCUGCAAAAAGGAAAAUUCAUAUUUCUUGAAAUAAAAGGAGAAAACUCAGGUUCAGCUCUUUGAAAAUAAACUUCAGGAUGCCAUAUAUGUAUGUGUUUUCCACAUUUAAGAAAAUAAUACUUCCUAUUCUAUCCUCUACUUUAAAAUUGACUGAUUAUGAUCAGAAGAAUAAACUUGCAUAUAUAUACAUCUAUCUGUAUGUUAUAUAUACAUUAUAUGGACAUAUACAUGGGUACAUAUAAGUAUAUGCAUGAAUAUAUGAGUAUAUGAUAAACACACAGGCACUAUCAGGGAAAAUUCCCUGAUAUUUAAGUUACCAAAGCUUAAAACUUCAGUAUAAAUUAUAUGUGUUUAUGUUAGAACAUAUAUAAAUGCAUACAUAUUACACAUGCACACAUGUCCAUUAACAUAUACAUACAUGUGUAUUAUACAUCCAUGCACAUCCAUACAGACAGAUACACACAAAGUUGAUUUUUGGAAAUAAUGCAUUUAUUGUUCCUACACUAUAUUUUCUCUACUAAAGUCUUCCUCUGAAGACUAUGUGCCUUCAUCCUGACAAGGAGAUGACUUUGAGUUUUCAAGUCAAAGAUUAUAUAUACAAUAGAAAAUUCAACUGAGCUGGACAGCUCUAAAUCCAGGUCAUUAUGGAUAGUUGGCAUUUAUAUAUUAAUUUAAGCUUUAGAAAGCAUUUAAAAUACAAUAUUUACUUUAGCUUCCCAAUGACAUUAUGAGGUAGAAUCAUAGGAUUGAUGAUUCAAACUGGUAGGAAACUUAAAGAUAAUCAAGUCCAACUUUUUCAUAUGAGAAAAUUGAGGUUUCAAGAGGUUAAAUGUCUGACUCAAGGUCAUACAGCUAGCAAGCAAGAGUCACAAGUGAGAUUUGAAUCUAUACCUUCCUGACUUCAUGUCUAGCACUCUGUUUCCUGUACAUUUUAGUUCUCAAC